rnacentral:rRNA from 1 species
AUUGAACGCUGGCGGCAUGCUUUACACAUGCAAGUCGAACGGUAACAGCACUUCGGUGGCUGACGAGUGGCGAACGGGUGCGUAAUACAUCGGAACGUGCCUAGUAGUGGGGGAUAACUACUCGAAAGAGUAGCUAAUACCGCAUGAGAUCUAAGGAUGAAAGCAGGGGACCUUCGGGCCUUGCGCUACUAGAGCGGCUGAUGGCAGAUUAGGUAGUUGGUGGGGUAAAAGCUUACCAAGCCGACGAUCUGUAGCUGGUCUGAGAGGACGACCAGCCACACUGGGACUGAGACACGGCCCAGACUCCUACGGGAGGCAGCAGUGGGGAAUUUUGGACAAUGGGCGCAAGCCUGAUCCAGCAAUGCCGCGUGCAGGAUGAAGGCCUUCGGGUUGUAAACUGCUUUUGUACGGAACGAAAAGCCCUCUUCUAAUACAGGAGGGUCAUGACGGUACCGUAAGAAUAAGCACCGGCUAACUACGUG